AACCUUUAGCCAAACAAAUAUUAAAGGCAACGCCUGCCCAGUGAACAAUUAAACGGCCGCGGUACCCUAACCGUGCAAAGGUAGCGCAAUCACUUGUCUAUUAAUUGUAGACCCGUAUGAAAGGCAAAAUGAAGGUCUAACUGUCUCUUAUAAUAAAUCAAUUAAACUGAUCCCCCAGUCCAAAAGCUGGGAUAUCAACAUAAGACCAGAAGACCCUGUGAAGCUUUAACUAAACUAUUAAACCACCUAGUAGAUACUUUAGGUUGGGGCGACCUUGGAAAAAAAAAGAACUUCCAAAUACCACGACACUACCCCGUACUAUAUAGGCCAACAAGCCAAACACUGACCCAGCAAAGCUGAUAAUUGAACCAAGUUACUCCAGGGAUAACAGCGCUAUCUUCCUCAAGAGCCCAUAUCAAAAGGAAGGUUUACGACCUCGAUGUUGGAUCAGGACAUCCUAAUGGUGCAGCAGCUAUUAAGGGUUCGUUUGUUCAACGAUUAACAGUCCC
rnacentral:rRNA from 1 species